CCGCCCGCCGGGGAGGAGCCAGCGAAGCUGUCAUGAGUCGCUUUAAGUUCAUUGAUAUUGGCAUCAACCUGACAGAUCCUAUGUUCAGAGGAAUUUAUAGGGGGACACAAAAGCAUCAAGAUGACUUACAAGAUGUAAUAGAAAGAGCUGUCCAGAUUGGUGUUAAAAAGUUUAUGAUUACAGGUGGAAAUCUACAAGACAGUAGAGAUGCACUGCAGUUGGCACACACAAAUGACAUGUUUUUCAGUACAGUUGGAUGUCAUCCUACAAGAUGUGAUGAAUUUGAACAGAAUAACCCUGAUCAUUACUUGAAGGAACUGCUAACCCUUGCUGAGAACAACAAGGGCAAAGUUGUGGCCAUAGGGGAGUGUGGACUCGAUUUUGAUCGACUUCAGUUUUGUCCCAGAGACACUCAGCUCAAAUAUUUUGAAAAACAAUUUGAACUGUCAGAACAAACAAAAUUACCCAUGUUUCUUCAUUGUCGAAACUCACAUGCUGAAUUUUUGGACAUAAUGAGAAGAAACAGAGAUCGAUGUGUGGGUGGUGUGGUGCAUUCGUUUGAUGGCACCAAGGAAGCAGCCGCCGCUUUGAUUGACCUGGACCUUUACAUAGGGUUUAAUGGUUGCUCACUGAAAACUGAAGCUAAUUUGGAAGUUUUGAAAUCAAUACCUAAUGAAAAAUUAAUGAUAGAGACAGAUGCACCUUGGUGUGGAGUUAAAAGUACACAUGCUGGAUCAAAAUAUAUAAAAACUUCAUUUCCUACCAAAAAGAAAUGGGAACAUGGGUACUGUUUAAAAGAUAGAAAUGAACCCUGCCACAUAAUGUGAUCUUGCUAGAAUCGCUACUGCUGCUCAUCAGGCAAAGCUGUUUUGUCAGAGACUGCAAGACGAGACCCCCCUCCCCAGUCACACCUCGUCCUUCUUUUGCUGGCAUUGCUUUGAGUGUUCAAGCAGCUGGUUCCUGCUGUAUGCUAAUUGACCAAUCAUCAAAUACUGGAAGUUAUGGCUGCAGUGAGAGAAGAGGAUCCGCUGGAAUUAGCCAACACACUAUAUAACAACACCAUUAAAGUGUUUUUUUCCUGACUUGA